rnacentral:rRNA from 1 species
AGAAUGAACGCUGGCGGCAUGCCUAACACAUGCAAGUCGAACGAAGGCUUCGGCCUUAGUGGCGCACGGGUGCGUAACGCGUGGGAAUCUACCCCUUGGUUCGGAAUAACAGUUGGAAACGACUGCUAAUACCGGAUGAUGACGUAAGUCCAAAGAUUUAUCGCCGAGGGAUGAGCCCGCGUAGGAUUAGCUAGUUGGUGUGGUAAAGGCGCACCAAGGCGACGAUCCUUAGCUGGUCUGAGAGGAUGAUCAGCCACACUGGGACUGAGACACGGCCCAGACUCCUACGGGAGGCAGCAGUGGGGAAUAUUGGACAAUGGGCGAAAGCCUGAUCCAGCAAUGCCGCGUGAGUGAUGAAGGCCUUAGGUUGUAAGCUCUUUACCCGGAUGAUAAUGACAGUACCGGAGAAUAAGCUCCGGCUAACUCCGCGCCAGCAGCCGC